UGGGGAAUAUUGCGCAAUGGGGGAAACCCUGACGCAGCGACGCCGCGUGGGCGAUGAAGGCCUUCGGGUCGUAAAGCCCUGUCGAGCGGGACGAACCGUGCGAGCUCUAACAUAGCUCGUGCCUGACGGUACCGCUUGAGGAAGCCCCGGCUAACUCCGUGCCAGCAGCCGCGGUAAUACGGAGGGGGCUAGCGUUAUUCGGAAUUAUUGGGCGUAAAGGGCGUGUAGGCGGCUUCGUAAGUCUUGUGUGAAAGCCCUCGGCUCAACCGAGGAAUUGCACGAGAAACUGCGUGGCUCGAGUCCGGGAGAGGAUAGUGGAAUUCCCAGUGUAGCGGUGAAAUGCGUAGAUAUUGGGAGGAACACCGGUGGCGAAGGCGGCUAUCUGGACCGGUACUGACGCUGAUACGCGAAAGCCAGGGGAGCAAACGG
rnacentral:rRNA from 1 species